rnacentral:rRNA from 1 species
GGGCCCAGAUCGUUUACCGUGAAAAAAUUAGAGUGUUCAAAGCAGGCAGAUCCAAUUUUCUGCCACCGAAUACAUUAGCAUGGGAUAAUGGAAUAGGACCCUGUCCUCCUAUUUUCAGUUGGUUUUGGCAGCGCGAGGACUAGGGUAAUGAUUAAUAGGGAUAGUUGGGGGCAUUAAUAUUUAAUUGUCAGAGGUGAAAUUCUUGGAUUUAUGAAAGAUUAACUUCUGCGAAAGCAUCUGCCAAGGAUGUUUUCAUUAAUCAAGAACGAAAGUUAGGGGAUCGAAGACGAUCAGAUACCGUCGUAGUCUUAACCAUAAACGAUGCCGACCAGCGAUUAGGAGACGUUGAAUACAAAACACCACCAUCGGUGCGGUCGUCCUUGGCGUCGGUCUUUCGCG